UGGCUCAGUUGGUAGAGCAUGGUGUGUGCAAUGCCAGAUUUGUGGGUUCGAUUCCCAC
rfam:Salmo salar isolate Sally breed double haploid chromosome ssa10, whole genome shotgun sequence.